rnacentral:rRNA from 1 species
ACUCAAAUGAAUAGACGGGGACUUGCACAAGCAGUGGAUUAUGCGGUUUAAUUCGAUGGCAAACGAAAAACCUUACCAAGGUUAGAAAUCUAUGGGAAGACUCGCAGAAACGUGAGUCGUCCGCAAGGACUCAUAGACAGGUGAUGCAUGGCCGUCGUCAGUUCGUGAUUUGAAUUGUUCCCUUAAGUGGGGUAACGAACGCAACCCUCGUUGCCAGUUACAAGUGUCUGGCGAGACUGCCCCCGUCUGUGGGCAGGAGUCAUAGACGGUGACUCGUGAAUACAGACGGGGGAGGAAGGCGAGGAUGACGCCAGGUCAGCAUGUCCCUCUGAUACCUUGGGCUACACGCAUAAUACAAUCGCAUCUACAACAGGUCGCGACGCCGUAAGGCUGAGCUAAUCCUUAGAAAAGGUGCGUCAGUUCGGAUUGGGGGCUGCAACUCGACCCCAUGAAGCCGGAAUUGCUAGUAAUCGCGGGUCAGCUAUACCGCGGUGAAUACGUUCUCAAGUCUUGUACACACCGCCCGU